UAUUGCUGCAGGAAAUAUCAUGUCAUAGUAUAAGUAAGACUUGGAUAAAGAUAUAGACUUCAUGUAGUUAGAGUAUACUUCAGCACAUUGUACAAAAUUCUAAUAAGCUUUUGAUGGGGGAGCUGCAUAGAGUGCAGGGAGGGAAUCAGUGCACAGGGAAUGGCCCUCUUUGAUUCCCCCACUCUAGCAGAUGUCAGAAACCGGCACUGGCACUGGUAUAUAAUGAUGACCGAUGGGAAGCAAGGAAACAAUCCAGUUGUUGUCAGACCAAGGAUCCAGAUGUUGGCAAAUUUGAAACAAAGAUUCCAGGGACCAGUGGUAUGGAGAUGAACUUGGAGGAGAUCUGCGAAGGAUUGGUUGCCGGGGAAUGAUGGGUUCAGAUGAUGUUGAUCAAAAAGUUACUUGUGAACUAUCUGUGGACAGGUGCAUUCCCACAAGUUACACAGUCCAGAAUCCUGUAGUGAAUCUAGCAAUGCAGAGUUUGAAUCUGCCUAACACGUAGGUAACUGUGGAACACGAGGAAUGCUAGAGAAUGAGGACAUGGAGUCCAUGUCAAAUGGCUAAGCGGAAAUCACAAGAUCAAACAUGAUAUUAUAUGAACAAUAAAAACAGAUUCUUCUUUUUGAAGGAGAAUAAUGGGCUGACCAUCCUCAUGAGUGAGUAUCCCCUUGAGCAGAAUAGGUAACUUUGUAAUUGACUUUAACCAAGCUAUAUCCUGCAUUUUUUUGUAAGCAGCACAAAAUAGUUAUAAAGAAAUUAAAUUAAUUUGAUGGCACAUACAUAUGCUGUUUUUGUGAUAUUUUUCCUGUGAUGGGGCAAAGUUGAUUCAAACACCUAUAUGAGCAUUAAAGCCUGAGUGUUAUUUGAUAUUUUGAUCAGAAAGAAGUUUGAAGGUAAAUGAUGUUUGAGAAUGAGUUUAAUCAGAAAUUUCGUUUUAUUAUUAGUCAAAUCAGAAAUUUCCGUUGUGCCAUUGUAUUUAGAUGAUUGAGUAUACAUUGUGAUUUUAUACCUUCCAACUGAGGGAACUGUCAAAAGUUGAUGAUGCAUAGGCUUCAAGACCCGAGCCGCUGCCCUGCAAACAACAGAUGAUUGAAUUCAUAGAAGCUACUGUAAGGUGUUGUUUUAUCCAGGAGCAUGUGGAUUCAAACAUCCAUAAAGAGGACAAGUGCGGUGGAGAUGAGCCCUUCAAAAUUCUUCAAUGGAGGUAAAAUCAAUCUGCAGCAGUUUUGAAAUGCAAGCUUAUGAAUUCUCAUAUGUGCGGUGUGGAAGGAGUAUAUAUGGAGAUUGAGACAAAUAGGAAGAAGAGAAUACAUAGAUCUGAAAGAAGCGAACAGCAUUGCAGCUAGAGGCAAUUUCCUCUAUCGUGCAGGAUCCAGAGAAUGACAAUCCCUACCACAAUCAAGAGUGACUUCAACAUUAACAUCAGUUUUUAAGCGCACCAGCAGCCUAAAAGGACAAGUCUACGCGGCCAGAAGAGGAAGUUUAGUACCAUUAUGACGUCACAUGCAGCUGCUGCUCUAGCUGUUGCAACUUCCCCUGCAAAAUAUUUCAUUGCCUUCUUGAAUCAGAGCAACACACACACCAAGUUAGGUAAUAGAGGGGGUAACCCCCCCUCCCCCGUCAAGAUGGCUAAGGAUAUAGACUUGUAAUCACCUUCUUGGUUUGAUCUGGUUAGCUAUGGGCAACCUAGACUGGUUUACCUCCUUGAAAGGUGGGGUUUACCCAGUAUUAAUGUUGAAAAAAUUGCUAAGCGCCUGGGGACCGCCUAGGGCGCCUAGGAGGCCGACCGCCUAGCGCCUAAACGUCGAUUAUCGGCUCAUAGGCGCGAUUUUUGCGACAUUGCCCAGUAUACAUCCUCGGGUAGUGGCUACGGGUUUCCCUGGUCACCCCCCAAAAAAGGUUAAGGUAAUAGAGUAAGAAGUACAUACCAUCAGGAUGUGCAAGUUUAUGCCUGUCAGUUGGGGCAAUCAUAAUGGGAGCUGAUGUUUUGUAACCCAGUAUUGUGGUUGACAUAUCAAUUCUGCUCACAUCAAUAAGAACUCUUGGCCGAAUACUGAGACCAGAGAAAGUGGAUGUUCAGAUUCAGAUACAGCUAGCGGUGUUGGAAGCAAACUGGAUUGGAUCGGAAGCGCUA